ACUUGCAUAGCUAGCUGGGCAGCUCUUCACUAGUCUCAUGUCUUCACUAAUCUUCAAUGAGAGAGGGGCAUGGCAUUCUGACUCCUAGCAUUCCAACUGGUCCUGGUCUCUCCCACUGACUUGUGCUGAUUUGGCAGAGGUCUGUUUCUGCUGGAUUGUGUCGAGUUGCUGAUUCAUGUUUGGUGACACUUUUGAACUAGACUGUUGCACCCACCUCGGCCGGCAAGGAAGACACAACACGGUCGGAUUCUUCUCAACAGCCUUUAUUGCAGGGACGCCUCGAUACUGCUACAGGGACCCCAGGAACCCAGGGAGGGGACUCCUUCAGCUCGCUACUGUGCUGGUUCCUCUUCCCUACUGGUGAUGCAUCGUGUGUGGAGUCCGCGAAGCUUUGAUAGACACUCAGGCAUGCUAGAUUCCAGAGACCAUUUCUCUCGAGCAGCCAAAGAAGCGGCUUGAAAGGAGGAAGCAGGAUCGUGGGCAACAGUGGAAAAGCCUCCUGUGACUCAGGUCAAGUUCUGACUCCACUUUCCUCCCAGUUUUCCUUCCUGGGUAUCAACAAUAUCACUGCUAGUAAAUGGCAACAGGUAUUCUCUUGCUGCUGUGUUAGGGGAAAGGGAUAUUACCUGCACCUUUUGUCAAAGGUGGUUGGAUAUUUUGUUAUUAUUUUUUGUUUUCCACCUAAUGAAAGUAAAAUAUUUAGUUAGAAUAGAUUGUUGGUGGUGGUGUUGGUGUUGCUGCUGCUCCUGCUGCUGCUGCUGGGAUUUGGAAUAGCUAGGGAAGAUUCAUACUUUUAAGAAAGUCACAAUUAAUAACCUCACUACUCUCUUUAGACUCAGGUACCAGGCUAACACAUGAGUAUGUCACAACAGCUGGACCCUCUCUCUAAACAUUUGUUCAUGAUUUGAACAGGCUAAUGAGUCACCUAACUACUGUAAGAGAAACACCAAUGGCCAAAGCUUGUCUUUGACAGGGAAAUUUCAAAGAAUGUUUUGAAUUAAUGAUUGUGUGCUUAACAAAAUAUGAUUUUUUUUCUGAAUUGUCUUAACUUCUUGUAGGUAUCAUUUUCCUGUUCUCUGAUAGCUUUUCUCCGGUUGGUUGAACUUUAUUAAAUACAUAUAAUAGGGACAUGAUAUGAUACGAUAUGAUGAUAUAAUAUUUUUAGAUACACCCAUAAUCUAUUCUUUCCCAUUUAAAAACAUUUGGGGGUUGAUUUAAGAAAAGCAAGUCUGCCUAUCCUCACUAACUAUUAACGAGGUUACCUCACUCAGCUUAUUCUGAGAGAUUCUCAAACCAUCACCAGGGUAAAGCAGCUCUAGGACAUGAUCUCUGGUACCCAAAAGUUUAUAACUGCUAUGAAAGACAACAGGGAGCAAAUCUACCCACAGCUGUCACAGGAGAGAGGACAGAGGAAACAGAGGAAGUUGUUCAUGUUAAACACAAUCAAUGGCCAGAAUAGCCAGAUUCCUGGCACUGGCAGGAUGUGAGACUGCAAGAUAGAGACAGAACUUCAGAAGAGAAGAUGGAGUUCCAUAAUCUUUAAUCAAGUCUCUUUCACACGAACUAAAUGACAGAACAAAUCUCUUCUUACUGCUUUGGAGCCCCCGUUGAAUUUGAAAAUUUCCAAAGUUAUUUUGUUGUGUAUUGUUUUAAUUUUGCAGUGCUGGAAUUGGAGCCCAAAGCUUUGCAUCUAUUUGAAAGAAGUGGCUUUAGAACCUACAUGCACCACACUAUGUCUAGAAGGGUGACUGAAGCUUUCUAGAGAUGAAGCCUGAUAAGUCCAAACACGGAAGUCUCACAGAACACACAGUAUACCCAUCAUCUCUGUGAGACACACCUGCAGAUCCUGCCCCAUGUUGGAGUCAAGGGAACUGCUGGAAGCCCUCUCAGCUCCACCUUAGCUCCAUCUCCAUCCUAACUGGGUUCUUCUAUAUUCAGGACCUGUUUUUCUUAAAAAUUACAAGAGAUAUAUGUCUCUCAGCUGC
ensembl:lincRNA Gm42744 predicted gene 42744